GCAAGUCGAGCGCUUCACUUCGGUGCGGAGCGGCGGACGGGUUAGUAACGCGUGGGAACAUACCCUUUUCUACGGAAUAGCCUCGGGAAACUGAGAGUAAUACCGUAUACGCCCUUCGGGGGAAAGAUUUAUCGGUGAAGGAUUGGCCCGCGUUAGAUUAGAUAGUUGGUGGGGUAAUGGCCUACCAAGUCUACGAUCUAUAGCUGGUUUUAGAGGAUGAUC
rnacentral:rRNA from 1 species